GAUGAACGCUGGCGGCGUGCUUAACACAUGCAAGUCGAACGGAAAGGCCCAAGCUUGCUUGGGUACUCGAGUGGCGAACGGGCGAGUAACACGUGGGUGAUCUGCCCUGCACUUCGGGAUAAGCCUGGGAAACUGGGUCUAAUACCGGAUAGGACCACAUUUUGGAUGGUGUGGUGGAAAGUUUUUCGGUGUGGGAUGAGCUCGCGGCCUAUCAGCUUGUUGGUGGGGUAAUGGCCUACCAAGGCGUCGACGGGUAGCCGGCCUGAGAGGAUGUACGGACAGAUUGGAAUCGUGAGGGAGGCCAGAGUCCGAAGGGAUGGAGCAGGGGGGAAUAUUGGACAAAGCGAGAAAGCGUGAGGCAAGGAGGCCGUGGGGGGGAUGAGGGCCUUUGUGGGGUAAGAACCGCACGAGGGGGACGAAGCGUUGUUGUGACGGUACCUGGAGAAGAAGCACCGGCUAACUACGUG
rnacentral:rRNA from 1 species